GGGCGAAUAGUUCAGAGGGAGAACGCUUCUCUUACAAGGAAGAGGUCGGAGGUUCGAGUCCUCUUUCGCCCA
rnacentral:tRNA from 1 species